ensembl:lncRNA
GGAUUGAACCAUAUUGGAUUGAGGGGCCAGUGUGAGCAUUGGCAUAGAAAAACCGCACUCUCCGUGCGAUCACCUAAUUCAAACAGAAGCAGAACACAGGCUGCAAAUCAAGCCAGAGCAAAGCCAAAUUUGAAGUGUGCUCGCAGUCUGAGCUUGACUUACUUUACAGAGUUACAAUGGGGAUGAAGUCAGGAAGAGGUGAACCAUGUGUGCCAAUUUGAACUCGCUGGAGGAUAUUACAUGUGAAAACUGACGCCCCUUUUUGGACAACUAUGGUGAAAGAAGAGAAAAAAUUAAAACAAGACCCUGUAUGACUUGUUACCAACUAUCAUGAUUAGUAUCCUCAUAUUAUCCACAAUUCCUAUGAAAACUGUUAGCUGUAUCAAAAUUCAAUGAUGAUUGGCUGAUUCAACACAUUAUAUUAUACAAAAGAAAUUGAUUCCUCAAGGAAGGGAUUAUUUUGCAUGGUGUCCUCACACCCUAAGUACCCUCCCUCUGCCCUAUUGCUUACACUGAGCAAAUACAGUAUAUCUCAUUGAGAUAAUUCUUUCCUUGCGUACAAAAGCUGAACUACAACUGCAUCAGGCUCAAGUAGAUGACAGACGUACCCCACGCCAUUAGAGCCAGAGUUCCUUGUAGUGGCAACAAAUACUUGAGUCUCCUAGCAUAAACUUGCUUCACUUUGCAUUUUGCAAAUUUAGCUGGUUCUAUGAUUAUUUCACUGUUUUUACUAUAUUGGAAGCCACCUAGAGUGGUCUUUUAGACCAGAUGGGCGGGGUAUAAAUCAAAUAAAUAAAUAAAAAAUUAAAAAAUAGUUAUUGGGAAGUAAACCUGGUCUUCAUUUGCUAGUUUAAUAGUACCAGGAGGGAAAAUGUUCCAAAACAGGACCUAUGCUGUAACAGCAGGAAAUCACAUUUCCUGUAACAUGUGAUUCAGCCAUGCGAUUUGUAGACCAAAAUCUCAACAGGGUUUGAAAGAGAGAGAGAGAAGGGUCAGGGAGAGGAUUUUUGGACUUGGAAUAAAGCAAUCAGAUGCUUACCCUCCUUUCUUUUGCAAUUUCCAGGGGUCUACCACAUGCGUUUUUUUAAAAAGGGUUUCCAAAGUAUAUUUAGAACACCAAUUGGGGAACGAUACAGUUUGUGAUGGAAAUGGACCAGGAACCAAGAAAUAUGGAGGAACAGCUGUCUGUUAUAUAUUUUGCCUGACCCCUACAGAACUUGACCUUGGAGGCCCUCUUCAGACCAGGUGAAAGAAGUGCCUUGCAUUCACCAGGUGCUAUAACAACUAGUACACACAUUUUCAGACUUUUUUCUUUUUUCCUUUCCAAUUCAUAUAUAUUGAUGUUUCUCCAAUCGUAAUAGGAACCCACAAAUUCCAGAAGUCAGAAGGAACAAUGGGGAGGGAUGUAGACAGGAGAGAAUUUUUCUGUGAAGGGACACUGGUUCAGUCCUGAUUUUAAAAAAAAGACAAAUACUUUAAAGGCACUCUUUUUCUUAAAUCUACUAGGUGUAAGUCUGUUCUGAACCACUACUUCGAACUUGACACCAACCUGACUUUACUUUUGAGAUACAACUCUUAUAAGCUCCCCACCAGCAUGCCCACUGAGUCCAACAAAAUAACUUUUUGAAGAUCAGUUCCAGUUCGUGAAUCUUGAAAUUCUGCAGGGAAGGCAACCAAUAUAGAUUUCAGAAGCCAGAUGUUUGCUUACCCUUGAUUUAGGAUCUUGUCCAGGCCUUUCGACAUUAUGCUGUUUUCUGUCAUGAUAGAUUUUGAACAGCAGAUGUUCAUCAUGACAGCCUUUGUAUCUUGGCUCUAAGGAGAGUCUAAGAAUGCAGGCAAAUCUGUUCAUCAACCUUUGUGUGGGAGUAUGUACAGGUAUAUGUUUAUGCAUAGAUUUCAGGAUUUUCAAGGAGUUUUGUUUACUGAUGGCAAAGAAAAAUAAAAUAAUUUAAUAAUGGAAUUGGACUCA